GGCCGAGCCGGAGUUCCGGAGGAGAGGGUCUGCGCCACAGUUCGGUUAACAAGCCUCCUGUCCUGACGGAUCAGGGAGGACCAGCGUGCCGCUAAGCAUUUAUGAGGCAAAGACGGGACUCUGGAAAGUCUGUGAGUGGCGGUGUCGUAGGAAAUCAAGCGGAACAUCCGUGACUCUGACCCAGGCCACCUGGGGAGGGACUGGAGAUGGCGAAACUGAGGCCCAGAAGGAUUUUUUUUCACCAGAUUCAUGUACGUGGUUCAGGUCAAAGGAAGCACGUGCCAGAGGCUCCCGACACCCAGUACUGCCCUUCUACACGUGGUGACGGCGCAUGGAGUCACGUGAGAUUCAAAGGAGUAUAGGGCUAGAAGACAUAAUAUAUGAUCUGCACUCACUUUGAUGUUGGAGAGGGGCUAGCUUGGUCGGAUCUCAUCGACUCAAAAUAAACCCAGCUUAAUGAUGACACCACUGUAAGUUUUAAGCAUAUAUUCUGUCUGUAGAGAAAGAAAGGGAGAAUCAAAAUUAGUUUUAAUGACAAAGUCAGGAAGAGGUUGAAUCGGUUGAUGCAUAAAUGAGACUGUCACUAAAAAUAUGUUCAAAAGAAGCUUCAGGGUAUUAAGAAUGCUCAUAAAAGCUUUCUGAUUAGUGUCAGACUAGAAGAGAACAGUAUCUUUAAAAUAGGCCACACUUUAGUUUCUGCAUAUCUGUCGCAUCAAACCUGGACAUUUUAAUAAAACAUUUAUAAAUAUAUGAAAUAUUUAAAUUGAUACAGUGAAACCUGUUUCCUGUGGAAUCCCUGAGUUGCCACCAACAGGUCCGUGCAGUGAUCUCUAAGCUAUGUUUGCAACAAUGAGCCUGAGGCACUGUCAGAAAUUCCUUUAUCCAUUCACCACGUGUUUGCGGAGUUCCUGCUGUCUGCUGUAUCUGGGGGUACAGAAAUAGAGGCCCCCAUCCCUGCCCUUGGAAAGCUCACUGUUGCAGGUCAGCAAAUGACGUCAGACUUGUUGAGUGCUAUGUGAUCAUGAAAAGAAAUCUGGUGUUAUAUUGGCUUACACCCU